AUGUUUCUGGAUACAAUAAUACUGAUGAACUGAUGAAGCGCCGUUGAAAGUCCUUCCAUGACGAAUGCUAUAUUUGUAAUAAUGUUUGAGUUUACAGGAUGAAUUCGCAGUAGCAGUUGCUGAAUUUCAUAUUAAUAUGGAAGUCUGAAAAUGUGUUUAAGAGAGCAAGCAACUAAAGUGUCAGCCCACAGACAGGCCCUUUUAAGUGUUUACUUAGCAUUUUCUGUGUGAAUGGGCUUUAGCCACAGGUAAGAGAUACCUUUCAGGCAUCACAGCUGGCAGUUGACUAAUGAUCACUCCGAUUGGAUAGAUGAGCUCCAGAUGGUCACCACCGAAAAGUCUGCACUACAAUGAGCCAGCAGCCUCAUUGCCAAGUCAAUCAAGGAUGGAUCAGUGCGGUAAAAGCAGAUCUUAGCAAUGUGAUGCGAACACACUGGACUCUUAGCACUUUGUGUUAAAGUGGAGAUGUGAGGCUAGUUUCACAAGUAUGGAUUAAGCGUAGUCCUAGAAUACACUGCAGUGCCUUUUUAGUCUACAGAUUGGGUUCUUUGUGCAAUACCAUAGAAUUACCACUUUUAGUUGCAACCAACCACCCAACCAAUCAAUAAAUAAAUACAUAUACACCCUUUCAAUGGAUAGUUACUUUGAGCCGUUUUUGUAAACAAGAUGUCUGAGUGUGAUAAGUUGUCCUUCUCUGGCAUCGUUCAACAAUCCCCAAUCUUUCUGUAGGCUUAGGUCUUAUCUAUGUGAGAAACAAGCCCAAAGUGUACAUGUUUUGAAAAAGGUUUCUUUUUCACAGGGUGCUGCCCAUGAAGAUUCCAACCAAGAUAAGAUCAUCAACCUUUUCUUCCAGACUGCUAUGGAGCCCAAGACGAACAGUAGGCGAGGUUCCAUGCAGCUGAGCAAGGCAACCGGUUGGACAUCAUCGUUGCCGAACCUGCGGGACAGGAAUAAAUGCUGGGACAAGCUUGGCAUUCUGCAUUGCACUUCUGAUGUUCCUGUUAAAACAUCUUUAAUUCCGAUACCACCAAAGCUCACAGAAAAAAGUAAAUCUAUACUUGAGAGUCCUCUAGUUCCACAAUUAUCUCCCCUUAGCCAGUCUGCUCCAAGUCUGGCUGUCCUUGAUGCAAGUGUCCUACUGCAAGUUCGAGCAAAUAUAUACAACAGACUCAGUAAUGGUGAAACAGACACUGACAUUAAUGGACAUAAGGGUCCACUACCUGUCCUGUGCCCAAGGACUCCAAAACAUUUGGCCCCACUUGGCAGAGGAUCCCAGGACGGCCCAGUGCUCUCAAGCCUUCAGCGUCCAGUGCUACUUAAGCCAAUCAGCAUUUUGCCUGCCAACUCUGUGUCCAGGCAACAAAGAGAAAGGUUCUCUAGACUGAACUUGAGAGCGUCCAGAGGCACACGGAGAGGAAGUGCAGAGAGCGCUUCUAGCAGCUGCAGCAGCGAGAGCUCUCUUGAUGAGGGGGAGGGAGAGGAAGAAGAAAAUAGCCCACAGGAGAUACAGAAGAUAUUUAGCACCUUGAAGAAGGAUUCACUGGGUACCCUUGUGUCUCUCUCAUCUUCUGAACAUUUUGUGAAUUCAGAGCCAACAGAUAUCACUCAGCAUGUUCUUUCAAACAAUGAAGAUAUGCUUAUCACAUCUCAAUUCAAAAAGAAUGAAGAGGUUGAGGCAGAGAUGAGCCAUAUUUCUGUCAGCAAAUGUGAGCAGAAUGGGGAGAGAUGUUCAGCAGACCUUUUGAAAAAGGACAAAGUUGAUGAAACAGUAGGGUCCUUCUCAAAUGACCUUGAUGGACAUAAAAAUAUGGGUACAGAGGUCAGACUUGCAGUUGAUGGACAGUCUAGCACUUUGGUUGAUGUUAAGCAUCAGCACCUUUCUCCUGAGAACAUCAUAGUGUCACAACCAGUGUCAGUGGAAAAACACCAACCCAUGAAGGCAACUAAAAGCAAAGAAAGAAAAUGCAGGCCUUUUCACACAAGUCAGUCAUUUAACAUCUUGGCCUACAGAAAUACAAACUGUGGUACUGUUAAUACCAAAAGGAAUAGAAGACAUUCAUCCAUAUCAUCUCAGGUGAAAAGCAAAGACAUGAAUCCCACAGAUCACAUAAGGGGGGAGACCACCAACAAACUAGACUGGCCGAGAAUGGCACCCUCAACAAGUCAAAAAGUCAAAGAUGCUCCCUUGACUCGGAGGAGGGCCCAAGAUUGCCCACAUCCAGUAAAAUUGAGUGGAGACAAAAAGAUCUUGAAUAAAUACCAGGGCCGGGAAUUGCAGACUGCCAGACAGCCCAAAAAGCCAGGAAAUUUGAGCACGCAACGAGCAAAAUCAGCUCUGGACUCGGUCAGUUACAGCGACAUGUUUUCGCAAAUCCAUCAGGAAGAUAAAGGCCCAGCCAUCUUUGAGAUGUUUGCCACUCCAAUAUACGAAAACCUUAGAGUAGGCAGUUCUGCCGAGAGGAACAAGCAGGUGCAGCCAGCUCUUCAAGUUAAGAGAUCCCUGAAUGGACAAUGGGCUAAAAAAAACUUAGACGGUAACAGAAGGAAACAGCAACAGAAAUGCAGCCAUUCCAAAGGCAAACCACGCAAGAGAAGGAACAUCCAACAAGUCAGACCACAAAACCUCAGUCAGUCUGUUGAGAUAAGUAAAGACGACGCAGUUGUAAUCGCUGGUCUAGAUGAGAAUUUUCACAUAAGGCAUCAUACAAUUCUCCCCAACAAAGAGGACAAAAGGAAUGCAAAUGAGGGUAGUCCUAUGCUGUCAGUGAUCAAAGAAGUUCUUUCAAAUUGUGAAACAGGAACACCCAUCAACCACGAGCAGAGGGAUUUACACACGUUAUCUCCUUCAGCAUUACCACCUUGCCUCAGCAGGGAACUCGCUCAACUGACAUCAGAGGCUCAUAAAGAAAACUCCUCAACCGAGACUAAGGACUCAGUUGUGGAAGAGUUCCCAGUACAGCCCAUGAUCAACACGUGGACCAGUGGCAGGACAAGGUCACCUGUGUACAAGAAGUUUCUGGAGGAAGUGGGUGAGGGGCCUGUUACAGAUGAUCUGCUGAGAUGUUUGGCAGAAGAAUUAAUUUCACUGGAAGACAGAGAAGUAGACACACUCAAGCCUGAACAUACAGAGAAGAGAGAGAUCAUAACUAACCAGCCAAAACUCAGUAAAGAUCCCACCAAGGUCACUUUAUCUUCUGACAAACUGCCUUGCACUCAGACAUUCAGUGUAGAUGACACUGUCACAUGGACAAAAGGAGAGGUUCUGGGCAGAGGAGCCUAUGGAACUGUAAGUAUCCCACCUCUAGAAUAUAGUGUACCCAAAGAACACCCUUAAAAAUGGUUCUUUGGU
ensembl:lncRNA